CUUAAAGUGGCAGAAAAUGCAAGAAAUUUAAGAUUUCUCCAUAACUAAAAAUUCUUUAAGA
rnacentral:tRNA from 1 species